rnacentral:rRNA from 1 species
UACAGAGGGUGCAAGCGUUUGUUCGGAAUUAUUGGGCGUAAAGGGAGUGUAGGCUGUGAGGUAAGUCUUCUGUGAAAUCUACGGGCUUAGCCUGUAACGUGCAGAGGAAACUGCUUCGCUUGAGUGUCGGAGAGGAUAGGGGAAUACCCGGUGUAGAGGUGAAAUUCGUAGAUAUCGGGAGGAACACCGGGUGGCGAAGGCGGCGACCUGGGGUAGAUACUGACGCUGAGGUGCGAAAGCUAGGGGAGCAAACGGG